rnacentral:rRNA from 1 species
UACAGAGGUGGCAAGCGUUGUUCGGAAUUACUGGGCGUAAAGGGCGCGUAGGCGGUUCGUUAAGUCCUGUGUAAAAUCCCCCGGCUCAACUGGGGAACUGCACAGGAAACUAGCGGGCUUGAGUUCGGGAGAGGGAAGCGGAAUUCCGGGUGUAGCGGUGAAAUGCGUAGAUAUCCGGAGGAACACCGGUGGCGAAGGCGGCUUCCUGGACCGACACUGACGCUGAGGCGCGAAAGCUAGGGGAGCAAACGGG